rnacentral:rRNA from 1 species
GUGCCAGCAGCCGCGGUAAUACGUAGGGCGCGAGCGUCGUCCGGAAUUAUUGGGCGUAAAGGGCUUGUAGGCGGCUGGUCGCGUCUGCCGUGAAAUCCUCUGGCUCAGCUGGGGGCGUGCGGUGGGUACGGGCUGGCUUGGGUGCGGUAGGGGAGACUAGAACUCCUGGUGUAGCGGUGGAAUGCGCAGAUAUCAGGAGGAACACCGGUGGCGAAGGCGGGUCUCUGGGCCGUUACUGACGCUGAGGAGCGAAAGCGUGGGGAGCGAACAGGAUUAGAUACCCUGGUAGUCCCGCUGUAAACGUUGGGCACUAGGUGUGGGGGGCCUUUUCCGGGUUUUCCGCGCCGUAGCUAACGCAUUAAGUGCCCCGCCUGGGGAGUACGGCCGCAAGGCUAAAACUCAAAUGAAUUGACGG